GAUGAACGCUAGCGGCAGGCCUAAUACAUGCAAGUCGAACGGGAUCCAGAUCAAAGCUUGCUUUGGUCUGGUGAGAGUGGCGCACGGGUGCGUAACGCGUGAGCAACCUACCCUUGUCAGGGGGAUAGCCCGGCGAAAGUCGGAUUAAUACCGCAUGACAUCAUUGAGAGGCAUCUUUCGAUGAUCAAAGAUUUAUCGGACAAGGAUGGGCUCGCGUGACAUUAGCUAGUUGGUAAGGUAACGGCUUACCAAGGCUGCGAUGUCUAGGGGCUCUGAGAGGAGAAUCCCCCAGACUGGUACUGAGACACGGACCAGACGCCUACGGGAGGCAGCAGUAAGGAAUAUUGGUCAAUGGACGGAAGUCUGAACCAGCCAUGCCGCGUGCAGGAAGACGGCCCUAUGGGUUGUAAACUGCUUUUAUACGGGAACAAACGUCGGUACGUGUACCGGUCUGAGUGUACCGUAAGAAUAAGGAUCGGCUAACUCCGUG
rnacentral:rRNA from 1 species